AGAAAAUGUUUCUAAAUCAGUUUCUUUGAAUAAAAAAGCUUGUAAAACUUUAACAGAAACUGCAGGUGGGUGUCUGUCUGGUGGAGUUUUAGUCAAAACAUGUUUGUUUUUCAUUCAGUGAGAAGAAAAUCCAGAAAUUUAUUCAAGAAUAGAAAUACUUCUUAAUAAAAUUACCCAAGUAAAAG